CAACGCCUAUAUGUGCAAAUAAAGCAUAUAAGGUUGGAAUAAAGUCAUAAAAUUGGAAAUGUAGACAUUUACAAGUUACGCGUAUGGAAUUAAUGGAAAGAACCGCGAAAGAGUCCUGUUUUGUAAAGUUUUUUGAAGCUCGAAGGCCGUUUUGAUUCGUCAUUUGAAUUUCAUGUUGUUGCUUGAGUAAAUUUUACGGAUCGGGACCAGGUGCUGAUGGGCCGAGGCAGAGAACUCUAAAAUUAGUGGCCCCGCUUUUAUUUUAAAAC